UUUGGAAGAAUGGAUUUGUUAAAAUGGACCAGGAUUUGGGAGGAAGGUCUUGAAAAGGAGUAGAGAUGAAGAAGUGGAGGUACAGUGAGCCUGAGUGACUCGCCCAAGGUCAUACACCCAGCAAAUCAGGAAUCUGACUCAGUUACUCAACUUCGCCCCUACAGCUCGGACCUCAGAAAAACC